CAUGUUUGCCUACGUCCGGUUUAUCGACGACAACAUCCGUCAGAUUGUUCCCUUGGACCAUAUAAAAGACUUCUGUCCACAGGACGUCAAGGAUUUUGAAAUAAAGAAAAAAUAUCAUAUUUUGUGGAAGAAAUCCGCAGAGGACCAGGGACAAUACUACAAAGCACAGAUAUUAAAAUUGGCUGAAACUGAAGAGGAAUUAACUCGUGAGAGAAUCUCGAUACCCCCACUCGAUAGUGAUGAGGAAGACCGGUCAUCCUCGAGAAGGUCCAUGAAUCCAUCUUGUGACAACACAAAUGACAAGAAAAAAAAAAGGCAGCAGUCCAAAGCAUUAAAAAAAGGAAGAAUUUAAUGGAUAUCCUAAAAGAAAAGAAAAAAGUUAUCCAGACCAGUUUUGAAUCACAAGAGGAACAUGUCCCCAUGGCUGUGCACAAGGAACUGCAAGACAAAUACUACAACCUAAAAAAAAGGAUGCGAGAGGAGGAGAUGUCUAAUGAAGAAAACGAGAAAACAAUUAAAUUUUUAAAAGAAGAGAAAAGGGACAUGAAGGCUGAACUGCAGCAACUAAGGUGGUUAAACCUAAAUCUCCAAGAGGAGCUUUACAAAAAAAAAAAAAUAACACAGAAUGAGACCUCUUCUGCAGUCCAUACUCCACUCCCUCAACGGCCAUUUCAUGGUACAGAAAAACUAGCAGAAAAGCAAACAGAGAUGAUACCCAAAAGUGAGCAUUUUCAAACUGUUGGGCUAUUAAUUUUACAUGCAUUUUUUUAAGGUUCUUAGAUAGAAAUGGACACUUUCAAAUGUAACUUAAAGGCUGUGAUUUUACCCUUUUUUGGAACAAAAAUUA
rnacentral:lncRNA from 1 species